rnacentral:rRNA from 1 species
CACGUAGGGGGCGAGCGUUGUCCGGAAUCAUUGGGCGUAAAGAGCUCGUAGGCGGCUCAGUAAGUCGGGUGUGAAACCCUCAGGCUCAACCUGGGGACGCCACCCGAUACUGCUGUGGCUAGAGACCAGUAGGGGAGUGUGGAAUUCCCGGUGUAGCGGUGAAAUGCGCAGAUAUCGGGAGGAACACCAGCGGCGAAGGCGGCACUCUGGGCUGGAACUGACGCUGAGGAGCGAAAGCGUGGGUAGCAAACAGG